rnacentral:lncRNA from 1 species
GAAACUGCAGUAUGGAAUCCCAUGGAGAGACUUAAAUACAACUUUCAGAGGGAGAGAAUGGCAUUCAUUACAGUCCUGAAGCUAGGAGUGCUAAGUCAGCGAGAAUCACCCAUCAUUAAGGAGACAUAGCCUGUGGCUACUGAGAGACAAUAUGGCAAGAGUCACACACUUGGCAGGAAGCUCAGUGGAGAACUGAUCUCCUGGGACCUUCAUAGUCCAAACUGUAACUCAGAUGUAAGUUUGCCAAAAUAGGACAGCACCCUGACUGCUAAGGACUUUUUAAGUGAAUUCACUAUGUUCUACUUGGAGACAUCCCGGAUGUUUGUAUAGACAUGCAGGCGUGUGGUAAUCGGCCAAGCUACUUUACGUGUAUAUUCCUGCCAUGGUCUGGAGAUGACAGGGAGUUCACAGGGCAUUUC